UUUCAACAUUCAGGUUUAAGAUUUUCAGUUUUUUGAAGCUUGAGUCUACAAAAUGAUGCUCCUAAGCAAAACUUUUGGUCCUAAAAUUAGCUGUUCUGAUUGUGCAUUAUAAAGAUAUUAAUAGAAAGAUCUUCAUAUGUAACAUAAAUGUAUAUAGUAGAGUGACCUAUUCGGUGAGAUAAGACAUGUUCCCGACCCAGCCCUGUCACUUCAAGUCAAUUAAAUUGAACAAUUUGACGAUAUUGCGUUCCGCUCUCUGCCGAUACGUUCGUGGGCCAACAAACUCAUGUAGCAGGCCAAAAUAAAUGCCAGCUCUUCCCCGGUUACGGCCGAUAAGUAGCGUCGCAUCAUAAACAACAUAAACAGCACCUGACAAUUUGACAGACACUGAGCGUUUCGCAGAACCCUAUCGAGGACUUCCCUGGAAUUAAAAAUCAUCAAGUGGACAAUCAUCGUCUGUCACAAAUUAGCAAACAAGAUUAGGCAACGGCCAGAGAUAACGCUUUUUUUUAUUCAUCAAUCCGUCAAUUUGUCAAAUCCUGACUCAUACACUCUUCAGAUAAUUAAGAAUUGGGUAAACAGAUUUCUAUGGCGUUUAGAUUACGCUCCAAUACCCUACUUCUAGUACUUGAGAAGACAUUACUUGCCUUAAGAGUUAUUCUUCCUUUAAGGAGGAGAGAGGAGAGAAGAGAGACGAGAGGGGAGAGAGGAGAAAAAUGAGAAAAAGGCGAGA